UACUCGCACUUUCUGUCGUUUUGUAUCUUGAUCCAAUCCAAUUACGAGCUAAGCCGAGUCAAUUCGGUCCGUCCAAUUUGGUGGGGUCAGGUGUGAGGGGUGGGCCCCCAAAAUGAGGUGUAGGUGGCCCACGUGUGUAUCGUGUACAUAAGCGAACGAAUCUCGAAUGAGACGCGAGGGAAGAGCGGUAACCGAAGAGGCGGAUGGGGAGACGCCAUGGCCGUGAUGCGAGUGAUCUCCAUGGCGGCAGUAGCGGCACCAACGAUGAUGCUACCGCCAGCAAGCUGUCACUUAGUCAGAACGCAGCUAUGACAAAUCAUUACAAUCAACCAGAGCACAGAGUUGAACGUGAGGCUUUUAUUUCCAAAGAUCCAUCCCGAUGAUGCUUGUGGACAGCAAAUAAUAAAAAAAAAUCUCGAGCUUGGGUUAGUAGCAUUCAUGGAAAGCCGGAGGAGAUAUUGUGGUAGCAUUGCGAGCUUUCAAUUGCCAUAGUUUUACACCAGGGAGACCCCCGUGCUAGUCUUAUUGUUCCAGUCCACCGACGUUGAGUUGAUCAAAAGACUUCUUCAACUGCGUUGGCAAAUCCACACAAGAAAAACUCGUCAAAACGUGGAACGGUGUGAUGCUGAAAGAGAACACGGACGAGUUCGUCAUCGCAUAGCUGUUUGUCGAUGACAUCUCAACUCGCCAUUACCCACCAUAUCAUCGUAGAUUUGGACGGGACUUUGUAUUCCAAUGACUUCAUCCAUAUAAUGACUAUUUCUUGCGUUGGAAACUGCACUUCAUGGACUGGUGGAGAGUUUAUAACGUCUUUGUUACAGCUGGUGCCUAACGAGAGCUGUUGGGAAACCCAGAUAAUUCCAGUAUCCCGUCGGCAGGACACGAGUCGGUCACCUUGACACCACCUGUCGCUUCGCCUUCCUGAGCCUUUCUACUUCCAUCUGAAGGCUAAACGAUGAGGUUGUGUUGCGUUACUUUGAAUCUUUAACCUUCAACUCUUUUGAUAUCUACACUAUUUUGGUAGGUUGCAUCAAACAAACCAAACCAUUGAAUACAGAUACACUGGUGUGAGAUGAGUAAAAGUAUGAUGCAUUACAAAUGAUGGUCAAUGUUGUAGGUGAAAGUUGGUCGUCGUUUUUGUGUGUUUCAACUGCAUGCAAUA